GAUGAGCGCUGGCGGCGUGCUUAACACAUGCAAGUCGAACGAUGAAGCCCAGCUUGCUGGGUGGAUUAGUGGCGAACGGGUGAGUAACACGUGAGUAAUCUGCCCUUAACUCUGGGAUAAGCCUGGGAAACUGGGUCUAAUACCGGAUAGGAGCGUCCACCGCAUGGUGGGUGUUGGAAAGAUUUAUCGGUUUUGGAUGGACUCGCGGCCUAUCAGCUUGUUGGUGAGGUAAUGGCUCACCAAGGCGACGACGGGUAGCCGGCCUGAGAGGGUGACCGGCCACACUGGGACUGAGGCACGGCCCAGACUCCUACGGGAGGCAGCAGUGGGGAAUAUUGCACAAUGGGCGCAAGCCUGAUGCAGCGACGCCGCGUGAGGGAUGACGGCCUUCGGGUUGUAAACCUCUUUCAGUAGGGAAGAAGCGAAAGUGACGGUACCUGCAGAAGAAGCACCGGCUAACUACGUGCCAGCAGCCGCGGUAAUACGUAGGGUGCGAGCGUUAUCCGGAAUUAUUGGGCGUAAAGAGCUCGUAGGCGGUUUGUCGCGUCUGUCGUGAAAGUCCGGGGCUUAAACCCCGGAUCUGCGGUGGGUACGGGCAGACUAGAGUGCAGUAGGGGAGACUGUUUAUUCCUGGUGUAGCGGUGGAAUGCGCAGAUAUCAGGAGGAACGCCGAUGGCGAAGGCAGGUUUCUGGGCUGUAACUGACGCUGAGGAGCGAAAGCAUGGGGAGCGAACAGGAUUAGAUACCCUGGUAGUCCAUGCCGUAAACGUUGGGCACUAGGUGUGGGGACCAUUCCACGGUUUCCGCGCCGCAGCUAACGCAUUAAGUGCCCCGCCUGGGGAGUACGGCCGCAAGGCUAAAACUCAAAGGAAUUGACGGGGGCCCGGAGAAGCGGCGGAGCAUGCGGAUUAAUUCGAUGCAACGCGAAGAACCUUACCAAGGCUUGACAUGUUCUCGAUCGCCGUAGAGAUACGGUUUCCCCUUUGGGGCGGGUUCACAGGUGGUGCAUGGUUGUCGUCAGCUCGUGUCGUGAGAUGUUGGGUUAAGUCCCGCAACGAGCGCAACCCUCGUUCCAUGUUGCCAGCACGUAAUGGUGGGGACUCAUGGGAGACUGCCGGGGUCAACUCGGAGGAAGGUGAGGACGACGUCAAAUCAUCAUGCCCCUUAUGUCUUGGGCUUCACGCAUGCUACAAUGGCCGGUACAAUGGGUUGCGAUACUGUGAGGUGGAGCUAAUCCCAAAAAGCCGGUCUCAGUUCGGAUUGGGGUCUGCAACUCGACCCCAUGAAGUCGGAGUCGCUAGUAAUCGCAGAUCAGCAACGCUGCGGUGAAUACGUUCCCGGGCCU
rnacentral:rRNA from 1 species